rnacentral:lncRNA from 1 species
CGAUAGAUUAUACAAUGAUAUAUUGGUGUUGGUCAUCAGUGCUAGUGGUGAUCGGUGUUGGUGGUGAUCUUUUUGGUGGUGGUGCUACAUUGAAGUGGAAGAAGAUAGAGUGCGACAGGAAGAAGACAGAGCACAAAAGAGGUUAGUCUCAGAAUCCAAAUAACCGCACUUGGAGGAACGGUUAUGGCUGCCACCUUAAGAAAGGCAUUUCGACACAGCCGCACUUCGUGUUGCGACUGCUGCCAACCGCACUAUGAGUUGCG